rnacentral:rRNA from 1 species
GCGUGCGCAGGCGGUUAUGUAAAGACAGAUGUGAAAUCCCCCGGGCUCAACCUGGGAACUGCAUUAGUGACUGCAUAGCUGGAGUACGGCAGAGGGGGAUGGAAUUCCGCGUGUAGCAGUGAAAUGCGUAGAUAUGCGGAGGAACACCGAUGGCGAAGGCAAUCCCCUGGGCCUGUACUGACGCUCAUGCACGAAAGCGGUGGGGAGCAAACAGGAUUAGAACCCCUAGU